rnacentral:rRNA from 1 species
CCCCUAGAUGUUCUGGGCCGCACGCGCGCUACACUGAACAGUUCAACAAGUCUUAACCUUGGCCGAUAGGUCUGGGUAAUCUUUGAACGCUGUUCGUGAUUGGGAUAGACCUUUGCAAUUAUUGGUCUUCAACGAGGAAUUCCUAGUAAACGCAAGUCAUCAGCUUGCAUUGAUUACGUCCCUGCCCUUUGUACACACCGCCCGUCGCACCUACCGAUUGAAUGGUCCGGUGAAAUCUCGGGACGGCGGCUUGGUCGCUUGCGUCCGACUGCUGAAACUUGAUUAAACCAUAUCAUUUAGAGGAAGGUGAANUCGUAACA